AGCCUGAUGGAGCAACACCGCGUGAGUGAAGAAGGGUUUCGGCUCGUAAAGCUCUGUUGUUGGAGAAGAACGUGCGUGAGAGUAACUGUUCACGCAGUGACGGUAUCCAACCAGAAAGUCACGGCUAACUACGUGCCAGCAGCCGCGGUAAUACGUAGGUGGCAAGCGUUAUCCGGAUUUAUUGGGCGUAAAGCGAGCGCAGGCGGUUGCUUAGGUCUGAUGUGAAAGCCUUCGGCUUAACCGAAGAAGGGCAUCGGAAACCGGGCGACUUGAGUGCAGAAGAGGACAGUGGAACUCCAUGUGUAGCGGUGGAAUGCGUAGAUAUAUGGAAGAACACCAGUGGCGAAGGCGGCUGUCUGGUCUGCAACUGACGCUGAGGCUCGAAAGCAUGGGUAGCGAACAGGAUUAGAUACCCUGGUAGUCCAUGCCGUAAACGAUGAGUGCUAGGUGUUGGAGGGUUUCCGCCCUUCAGUGCCGGAGCUAACGCAUUAAGCACUCCGCCUGGGGAGUACGACCGCAAGGUUGAAACUCCAGAUUUGACGG
rnacentral:rRNA from 2 species